rnacentral:lncRNA from 1 species
CUUCAGACUCGCACAGCCAAGUUUUGCAUUUCCAACUAAGCUAAGUUUUAAAGGACACAGACGUGAAAAGACAUUUAUGAUAAGGAGAUCAGAUGCCUUUGCAAAGAGCAUAGCUGGUACCAAGCCACCAUGACCGUCGGGAGAACAGCACUAACUGAGGGACGGGCAGCCCUGCAGCGCAGCACAGCCCAGCCACGCUCUGAGACCAGAAGCUCCACUCGCAAAGGGCAGCAUUCAUUCUGCGGAUGACGGGUGGCUGACAAACGACAUGGCAUUUUUAGCUGUUUCUGGGACCCAUUCUCUGAAAACAGAAUUGUAACUGCAAGGUGGUCUGUGUUUUUGCGUGUUGUUGGUCUAAUCGUGUGUCCACCAUGAGUCUGGCUGUCACUCAGCAGAUGCUGGCUGGGAAGCUGUGUGUGCAGAUGCCAUCCCAGUGCUGGUCAUCAGUGACAAAGCCCCAGGCUCGCCGCCCUGUCAGUGCUCGCUGCCCAUGAGGGGGAGUGGGAUGCUAAACAGUGAACUGCACCUGAAAUCACGAGUUGCGGUGACGCUGGGGUGCAGAGCGGAGGUCGAGAGCAAACAGGAUGGAGGCCAGAGGGAGCCUCUCGGAGGAGGUGUCGAGCUGAGAGGAGAAUCUUCAACGCUUAAAAAAAUACUACUGUGUAAAUUAGAAACGCCUUUUCUGGACCGCAGAAGAAUUAACUGGGGCCAUCACUUUUUAAGGGCUACUGAGGGCAACACCCCGACCUGGGAGUGAUCGGAGGGGCCGCCCUUGCUGCAGGGAG